rnacentral:rRNA from 1 species
CAUGAAGCUGGAAUCGCUAGUAAUCNCGGAUCAGAAUGCCGCGGUGAAUACGUUCCCGGGUCUUGUACACACCGCCCGUCACACCAUGGGAGUCGGAAAUGCCCGAAGUCUGUGACCUAACCGUAAGGAAGGAGCAGCCGAAGGCAGGUCGGAUGAUGGGGUGAAGUCGUAACAAGGUAAC